CUCCCAGAAUGCCAGAUUUUGCUGCCCGCUGGGCGUUACUGAGAAUGUCUUUGAUCUUCCGAAGGAGACUUCCCACACCCCUGUCUUCCCAAAAAACAAUCCCUCCUACACCUUCGAUAAAAACACACUUUGGAUUCUUCCAUUUGUCUCCCAUCGGAAUCAAAGCCCUCACCUCGCCGCUACAGACUAUUCGUAACCACUCUGAACGGACGCUUGUUCGGAACGCCUGAAUUGGUUGCAUAAACCGGAGGCAAGAUGAUGGAUUUUACUUUCUCUCAAAAGGAUAAUGUGGAUAUAAAUGGAAACGCAGUCAUCAGCUCCAAGAAAAGAAAAGAAAAAAAGAAGAAAAAAAAACUAGAAAAUAUUGGAGGAUUACUGAAGCUGUCAUCAAGAUGCUGCCGUCCAUCAAUAACACGGGGAUCUUGGCCUCGUUUGCCACGAGUGGAUAUUUCUUUUUUUGCCGCUCUUCUUCCUUCUUCCUUGUCGUCCUGCUUCCUUCUCAGCCUCUCCUUUUGGGGCGUCUCCUCCACCGAUGAGAAGACAAAUCAAUUCACGCACGCCUGGGAUGUUCACCGUAGCAGCAUCUCGGCUUGACAGCGUAGCCACCCCUGUGGCCAUCCGGCGACGAGUUGGAGUUGCUAUGAAUGAAUUUAACAGCUUAAAAAAAAAAAAAAGAUAAAAAAACAA